AGCAAACGAGUAGAUUAUACAAUUGAUGAGAAAUGAUAAACUUUAUGUCUUGACAUAUCAAAAGAGCCAUAUUCAUCAUAAAUAAAUGAUUUCAACAAUUUUGAAAUAACUUCUCUUUCCGCUCAUUUCUGCGUGCCUUUUUGUUCGCUGGCGCUCGCAUACCGACAGAUGACAUCACAGAAGACGUUUUUAUUUAUUGCCCUGUGUGAAGUGGCUCAAAUCUAGUAAAACUAGUCAAACUACAAUGUUUUCCCCUUCGACAAUAAGGUAAAAAGCGUGUGUCAAGUAAAAUAUUCUCACCGGGGAAACAUUGUGCAUUUUAGUUUUAUCUUUAUUUUGCAUUUCUUUAAAUGUCAGUCGCUUAAGAAAUAGUUUUAGUGUUCUGUUAUCGAAACGAGUUUGCGUGUGUUAUUUCGUAGAGACGAAAUCGAUCUGUUGCGAUCCAAACAAAUGCUCCACUUUCCCACAACUCUGGUAAAAGAUAUGCGGCGUCACCAUUUGCGGCAUUCGAUGAUGGAAUUGAAUUUGUCAGCCCUUUUGUUUCGGAUUUUGAAUAGUUUUCCUCUAUCCCAUUUGUUCACGUUUCUAGUUUGCAAUAAAUGAACAAUACCUUAA